UUCCCAAUCUUGUACACAACAAACACACACAAAAACUAUUUUAAUCUAUAUCUGCCCUAAAACACACACAAAAACUAUUUUAAUCUUAUAUCUGCCCUAAAACACACACACCAUUUACCAUAACCACAACACAGUCUCCAUUUCUUUUGCCCUAGUCUCCCUUGAACCCUCUCUCCCUGCUCUCUCUCCGUCUCUCUCUCUCUCUGUGUAUUUCCCACUGCGCGCUUACGUAUUCACACAACGAUUUCCAUUUAUUGUGGACAAUUUCGUAUUCACCCCAUCCCAACACCACCCCCACCCCAGCCCCCUCGGGGCCAAAAACCAGAUAUAUACAUAUCGUUGUAUAUAUACAGGGAGUUUUGGUCUUGGCGUUAUUAAGAGCGGUUAGGGUUUUGUUGAGGAUCUUAUUGCCUUUUUCAUCGCUUAAUCACUCACUUUUUUUUUGGGGUAGUAUCUUGUUUUGUUAUUUGUGUUGGUGGUGGAGAAACCCUAAGUUUUGUUUUGGGAAAAGUUUUUGUGGGUCUAGGGUUUGUGGAUUUGUGGAUUUUAGUCUCCAUUGGGCAUGGUGGGUCGUUGAGUUUUUAGGUUUUGUUUGGUUGAAAUCUUGUUGGGUAGCGGAAAAUAAAGGGGUAUUUCUUUCGUAACAGCUGACGGAGUAAUAAUGAUAGUCUGAUUAUUGUUCCAAUUGUUUCGUCUUCCGUCUUUUUUUGUGCUAAAAGAGAUGGAGUAACGGAAGACUUUUGAUUAUUAGGUAUAGUCUUCAUUUCUUUUUCGGGGAAAUUCUGUAGGUGUUAUCCUUGGUCAAUCCUUUAUUUUUGCCGGUUUGUAUUUGGUUUGCUUCAAAUUUGUGAAGCCAAAAGGAAAGAUCUCCAUAGAGGAAAUUUACAUAGGUGCAUGGUUGAUUUUUGGGAGAGAAACCUUGUUUUGGACUAAAAUCUGUGAAGCAAGUUGAAUUUCUUUUUGGGGACCUUUUAGGUACAGUAAUGUUGUUGGUUAUUGCAAUUUUUUGGAUAGACAGGUGACAUAUUGGUUGAGAUAGGAGAAGUGAGUUGAAUAAAAAUCUUGUUGUAGAGUUAUCUGAUCAUGUUCUGCGCCAAUGGAACGGAGUGAACCAGCAUUAGUUCCAGAAUGGUUGAGAAGUACUGGAAGUGUUACUGGGGUUGGCUCUUCAAGUCCCCACUUUGCAUCCUCUUCUUUGCAUUCAGAUGUUACUUUAUCCACACUGUCUUCUCGCAAUAGAUCUCCGAGAAGUGUUAGUGACAAAGAUAGCCCACGUUCUGUGUUUUUGGAUCGCAGUUCAUCAUCAAAUUCUAGGCGUAGCUCUAGUGGAACUAGUUCGAAGCAUCCGUACAGUAGUUUUAAUAGAAAUCAUCGUGAUAAAAAUCGAGAAAGAGAGAAAGAAAGACCAGGUACUGUUGAUCUAUGGGAUCAUGACACAUCUGAUCCUCUGGGGAACAUCUUAGCCGGUAGAGUUGAUAAGAACAGCUUGAGGCGCUCUCAGUCGCUGGUGUCCAGGAAAUCGGGAGAGUUCUUGCCCCGAAGGACUGAGGACUCGAAAGGUUGUAUUAGUAGCACACAUAAUACUGGCAAUGGUAUUCAUUCAGGCGGAAGUAGUAGUUUUAACGGUAACCAGAAGGCAGCAUUUGAGAAGGAUUUUCCUUCUCUUGGGAUUGAAGAGAGGCAGGUAACCAGAGUUUCAUCGCCUGGUUUGAGCUCAGCAGUUCAAAGUUUGCCUAUUGGGAACUCGGCUUUGCUUGGUGCUGAUAAAUGGACCUCUGCAUUGGCGGAGGUGCCUCCAAUAAUUGGUAGCAUCGGUUUGGGGAGCUCAGCUUCUCAACAAAGUGUUACUGCAGCUGCAACACCUAGCUCUUUAAGUGGGAUGGCGAGUCUUAACAUGGCUGAAGCAUUGUCACAAGCACCACUACGCGCUCGUGCAACCACCCAGAUCCCUGAUAAGACACAGAGGCUUGAAGAAUUAGCUAUAAAGCAAUCGAGACAGUUGAUACCUGUGGUACCUUCAAUGCCCAAAGCCUUGGUAUCCAGUUCUGCUGAUAAAUCAAAGCAGCCAAAAUCCACAGCUAGGACAAAUGAGAUGGUUGGAAUAGCUAAGAGUAUGCAACAACCCUUUUCCACUCAACUUUCUAAUCAGCCUCGCUGUGGACUAGUCAGAGUGGAAACUCCUGCUACAUCUCAUGGCAAAACUCUUUUGGUUCUAAAGCCAGGACGGGAAAAUGGUGUCACCUGUUUGUCAAAAGAAGCUUCGAGUCCAGCUAACAACACUGGCAGUAGACUAGCAAAUUGCCCUCCUGCAGUGGCUCCUUCAGCUCCUGCUGUGACCAGUCCAACUUCAAGGGUAACUUCCCUUGAAACAAAGGCUGCCACAUUGUCUCUGAAGCCACGAUCUACUUCAGAGAAGAGAUCUUCCCUGUCUCAAGCCCAAAGCCGGAGUGAUUUUUUCAAUCUAAUGAGGAAGAAGACUUCUUUAAAUUCUUCUGCUGUCCUUCAUGACUCUGGUAUGGUUUCAUCUAACAGUAGGGAGCAGUCUGGUCUUAAAACUAAAGACGAGGAUAGUGCCUCAUUGAGUCCUUGUGUUUCUGAAAAUGGAAGUGAGAGAACCAGCAAUGGAGACCCUCAUGAAGCUCAAAACCAUGUUCAAAGACAUAAUGAUGUUGAAGAGAACAACUCGUUUAUAAAUGGAGUUCUCUAUCCAGAUGAAGAAGAGGAGGCGGCUUUCCUACGUUCUCUUGGUUGGGAUGAAAAUGGUGGGGAAGACGAAGGCCUUACAGAGGAAGAAAUUAACGCUUUUUAUCAGGAGUAUAUGAAACUGAAGCCAUCCUUGAAGGUUUCCAAAGGUGCCCAGGGAAAGUGUUUGAUGCCCCCUGACUAUGCUACUAAUGCUGGAACUGCUUCUUCCAAUUCGACUUCAUCUGAAUCUGAUGCUUAAAUGUUGUGAUUUUCUCACGUAUAUGGGAUGCAUACAGUUUGGUUUGUCAAGAGAUACAUCGCUUCUUUUUUAUGGUCUCCUUUUGUUUUGGAGGAUCUCUGAUGUGUGUUUUCUAAAUGGAGGAUGGCUUUUGGAAUUUUGAAGUGCAGAGAAGAGAAAUAAGUUAGUCUGCUGCUGUCCUGCUUGCUCAAAAGAAAGCUAAGUUGUUGAAGCAGCAGUUUUAAUGGAUGUAGUAACUAGUAAAUGGCGGUGACCUGGGUAGGAAGAGAUGGCUUUUGGGAGGAUUUACUGCGUGCAUCAUAUCUGUGUUGCUAGACUGGUAGAUCUGUUGUUGGAGCAUGUAAUUUUUCCUCCAUUUAAGGAGAGGGUUUUCUUUAGAGCUGAAGUAGGUACAAACGCCUUGCUAAAUUGGUAUCAAGCAAAAGUUCAGCAGGUACAUUUACCAUGCUCAUGUUAUUUGACACUAGCAACUUACCCUGGUGCAUAGAAGAUGUAAAUUUGGUGCUGUGAAGCCCCAUAAUUUCUGCAGCUUGAAAUUGGCUAGUCAAGCUAAUAAAUCUCAAAACUAACCUAGUCCAGAGUGUGGAGACCCUCUGAAGGUAUAUCAGUUCAAAGUUAAUAUAGCUUCUUAUUGGUGCAUAAAUGAACCUUCAAGCUGGUAUAUCCUGUCAAAUAUGUGAAUUGUAAUUUGACAUGAACAACUGGUAUCGUGUUACUAUAGAUUUGACAUUAUCCGUUUCUUUUAUAGGUUUGUUUUGUUGAGUAAAGAAUGAUGACCUCAAUGACAAAGGUGCAAAUUUUUUUUUAACCAGUAUACGGUUGUUUGGAUUUAUCAUUCACUGCUUCAAAAAUUGUUACCCUGAUGUUUUAACUCUUACGAGGUGUAAAACAACAUUGAUGGUGUUCAAAAAGAAAUCCAGGAAGUGUUAAUUUUUGGUGGAGUUA